UACGUAGGGUGCGAGCGUUGUCCGGAAUUAUUGGGCGUAAAGAGCUCGUAGGCGGUUUGUUGCGUCGGCCGUGAAAACCUGCAGCUUAACUGUGGGCCUGCGGUCGAUACGGGCAGACUUGAGUUCGGUAGGGGAGACUGGAAUUCCUGGUGUAGCGGUGAAAUGCGCAGAUAUCAGGAGGAACACCGGUGGCGAAGGCGGUUCUCUGGGCAUUACCUGACGCUGAGGAGCGAAAGUGUGGGGAGCGAACAGG
rnacentral:rRNA from 1 species